rnacentral:lncRNA from 1 species
GAUGACAUUCCGUCAUUUGAGUAUUUUUAAUUAUUAUUCUAUAGUAUUUUAGUUAAUUUUUAAGACUAUUGCAUGAUCAAAGAGAAGAAUUUAUGAAGAAUUUGACAUAUAAAAGAGUUUGAAGAUAGAAGCCUAAAAGGAAAAAGACUUGGAAAACAUUCCAAAAAUUGCAAAGACUUGGAGAAAUAAGUUUUGAAGCUACUGUUUUUCUCGCGUUCCUGUACAAUUCAUUCGUGGUGCGAUUUGGAUAUUUUCAUCACAUGACAUCAUCAA